ACUCUCUACUCUUUACUCUAGAAGAUCUACUGCUCCGAAUAAUAAUAUUAGAGUAUUCUCCACUUCGUUGUAUAGAGCACUGGGAAAUCAAGAGAUCCAUGUUCGGAUCUGAUACUUCCGAUGUAUCUAUUAUGAACAGCAUCAUUUUGGUUCAAGGUGGCAAGGGAAGUGUACGGUUGUAUAGUCUUCAGAGAGUAAAAAAAGAUGUUACAAGGGUUGAAUAUUCAGAAUCGGAGGGAUUUCUUACCAAUGUG